UUACACAGGUGUAACACAGGUGGUACACCCUUUCCUCUCUGCCCCAUAGGGUGUAGCUCUAACUACCCUCUAGGGAAGAGAAGGUUGGGUGAACAGCCUUACUAUUUCUCCAGCUCAG
rnacentral:precursor_RNA from 8 species